CAUGGCCUUGAUUCGCUCUUCUUUUUUUUCCCCCGUUUUUUCAGCAUUCUUUUGUCUGAUUUUUGUCAGAUUCGGUGAUGUCUUUUUGAGAAGAUUUAGAUUUUGGCAAUGUUAUGCGCAAAGAUGAACUGUCCUACCAAAUUUAGAUAAACAUCUAUAAUUUUUGUUCUUCUCUGUUUUUUUUACACAGACUUUUAUGGCUUGAUCUGCUUGUCUUUUUCUUUUUUCUGCCCUUUUUGCGAUUAUCUUUCCAGUAUAUGCUUACAUUUCAGGAAAACUGUGGCAUUUUGGUUGGCAUUGUGCAAAUUGAGAAACGGGAGGGUAAGGCGUAAGAAUAUCUGGUUAAAGUUUGUGAUCAUAUGGAAAAGGCUCGCUAACAUCUAUUAAGCCCCUUUUUUCAGUAAUGAUGGUGUUUAUAUUUGUCAACAGAUAUAUUUGAGAUUAGUCUUGAUGGUUAUGUUGUUCUAGUUUUGACAUGGUUAAUGGAAAUCAAGUGAUCUGAAAAUGUUUUAACAGGCAUCUCAGCAUGACAUGUUGUGGGGCUCAUAUCUCACCUCUUUUAUGAAAGGCCGUUUUUGUAGUUCUUGUUCAGACAAUGUCAUUUCAGGGGACUUUUGUUGCAUUUCUGCAUGUAUGUAUUAUGAUAUCAAGUAGGAAUUCUUCUAUAUAUAGUUCUUCUAUGAAAUUUUAGUAUAUACCCUUUAGUUUGUGCAUGGUAGCCAUUGGCUUGAACCAAUUAAUAAAGUAAAAUUCUUGGAUUCAGUUUCAAAUGAAGAAUUGAGUUGAAUGAAUUGUAGCAUGUGUUCUUUGAUUGGGGUUAUAAUGGAGGAUGGUAGAAUUGUUGCGCGGUGUAUAUGUUGUGAGGUCAAGAGGCUUCUGGUUGAAUCUGGGAUUUGACCUUGGGUUGAGGAGGAUAGGAAAACAUUGUUCUAAUCCAAUAAUUGAGAGGAUCAAUCAGUGUCUCACUACCUACCCUUAUUUUUCUUUCUUUCUUUUUUCUUUUUAAUGGUUGGAUCACCCUCAUUAUAAGGCAGACCAUCAUUUAGCAUUCAUCAGUUCUUCUUGUGCUCGAACUAGUAAGAACUCUAUAUCUGGAGUGACUAUGUUCAAUUCUGGCGUGGUAUAUGAAGCUAAAAUAGGGAGCUUUAGCGAUCAUAAGUUUUGUUAUGCAUGACGGGAUACUGGAGAUUUUGCUAUGAGGAGAAGUGAACAAUGAGCUAUGUUGUUUUGAUUAUAGAACAUUUUCAAAUUUGAUGCUGCUUUUAAGGUUAGAAAUGAGACAAAUGGCCCUUGAGUUUGGUCUAUUGUCUUCAGAUAGGUUUCUUGAUCUUUGUCCAUUACAAAGGACUGGGAUGUUGUUGCUAGAGAUUAUUAGACAAAUGCCAAUGGCUGGAAUAUGUGUGCAACUAUAUAAGCCUUACCGAUGAAUAGAAUGUUUAGGUGGGAGGGCUUUUCUAUUUUUAAGGUAGGAGCUGAUUGUGAAAGGAGAACAUUGGAUGUUUUAAGGGACAAGGGAGUAUCUCCCUAAGGACUUUAUUAUAUAUUAAUGUUUUGAGUGAGGUGCAAAUUUUUCUUGAGAAAAGAUCCAAAACCAGAAAGAUCCUUAAAAAAUUCCAAGUGUUUCCUUGGUUUCUUGACUUGCUAGAGUUCUUACAUGUCAUAUCAUCAAGUAAUAGAAAAUGAGGCCAGAACUGGUUCUCAAUGUAACAUGAUCUGGAGAAGUAAUUCUCAAUUAUCUUUUAUAUUGAUCUCUUAUUGGAUCACUUUGAGGUAUAUUACCUUUACCACAACCAUCAAACCCUUUACAACAAUCUUGGCAUGGCUUUAUCAAUGCUUAUUCAUGAAUCAUUUCUAUUAAACAUGACCCUUGAUAUUACUAUAGGCUUCUCUAAAUCCUUCCUCACAACUUUAAUUCAAAUUAGAAUUGGUUUCCACUCAUCUUCUUAUAUGUAUUACAGAUUCAAAAACCUCUCCCUACCAGCUGUCUUAAUCUUUUCUAUAUGUGUUUAUGGCAUCUAUAUUGGUUUUUCAUUACUCUGUUCUCAUUUGGUGCAACUCCUCUGUUGGCAUAAACUGCCCUUGAGAUUUUUCUUGCAAAGGUGGGAGAGUAGUUUGUUUCUUGUAAGACUGCAAGUUAUGUAAUUUCAGGAUGGAAGCCAGGGUAUGAAUCUUUCACUUGCUAUUUGUGAUGGGUUUUGAAGGGUAGAAACAAAAUAUUUUAUCAAGAAUUUGUAUUGGAUGUGGAUCGAAUAUUGUGCUUUAUCUUCCCAGAUGUUUGUCACUGGUUAGAUUAUGCUAUGUAUAUCUUCUUGAAGGAUUAACUGGAAACAGCUGUAUUUGAUGUUUCCAUCCUUUUCAUCCAGAUUUUACCUUCAACUAUCUUUUAUUAUUAUUAGCUGAUCUACCAUAUUUGAAUUUCUUUUUUCUGAUUUUGUUGUACCUGUAUUUAUUUUCUUGGUACUAGCUAUACAUGAAUAUGUUUCUUCAAAGAAAAAAAAAAUUCAGGUCAAACUUAAAUUUCUUAAAUUUUGAUAAUUGUUGAGAUAUAUCAGAAAGGUGUUAUUGUUUAAUUAGAUUAAUUAGAAUUCAACUAGGAGGUUUUGUUACUUGAUGAUUGGAGCAACCUGUCUGCUAGGACUUGUUCACGCUGUUAGUUAUAUUGCAGAAUUUGUGAAAUAUAUACAUCCAGAGUUUUUCUUUAUCAUGAAUAUGCUCGAGCAUUUGGAUUUUCUUGGAAGUGUUAUCUCUGUAUUUAACUUGAUUCAUGGAUAAUAAAUCCAAGAUUUUUAAAGAAACUGGUUUCAUUUGAACAAAAGCAGCAUUCUAGAAACUAAGUGUAUUGUCAAAGUUCGGUACUUUUCCUUGCCUUUUAACUUACAGUUUGGUAACAAAAGAUUCUGCAAACUUGGUUUAGCUAGUUGUAUAAUGACUUUUUCCUCAUUAGAUGGUUCCCUUGGAUACCUAAUGAGAUGUUUACUUCCAAUGCCCUCUCUCUUUCUCUCUCUCUCUGAGCAAAAGGCUGAGGCCCCAAAACUAAGCCUGACAUAACAAAAGCCACUAGCAUCAGCAUGAGCUAAAACCAUGGCAUCAGAUAGGAAAGGAGUCCAUGUAGUCACUCCAUCAUGCCACAAACUAAAGCCUGCAAACAAGUCAGCAACAUUGUAUUAGUUUGAUACUUUGGUAUACUACCUUUUAAGUUGUCUUGAAAAAAAUCAAUCACUAUGUGGACAAAAAUGUCCUCAUACCUUACAGAAAAAGGUUUCAUUUUCUUUACCAUGUUCUUUAGCUUUUGCUAUGAUAUCCUACAAAAAUGAUUUCUAUUUCUUCUAUUUUUUUAAUGGCUCCUAAGACCUCCCAUGCACAAAAGAAAUUUGAUCUUCAUGAAUUUUCUUGUUACAAAAAUCUGUAGAUAUGAAAUAGUCCCUCUACUCUUCUUGGGAUUGGGCAGAUCAUUACUGGCUCAUGAUUGAAAAAUGAGUAUGUGGAGCAAAACCAGUUGAAAUAGGGAAAACCCACUACAGCAAUUACUCUAACUACAUCAGAUAUGCUUGACGAUAGAACUUUCUUUGAAAUAGUCCCAAGAAGGCGUUGGAUAUUAGAGGGGUCAAAUAAUAUCCUUUUGAACUAUGCCAAACAACUACCUGGUCCCUACUUAAGCAAUGAAUGACACCUUGAUUUUGUGUAAAGGAUUCCUUGUAGAAGACUCGCUAAAAAGUUCAAUGAAGGGCUUCUUUUUUGGACCUAACUUGUGCAAAAAGACCCUGUAUAAGGCUUACUCAUCUCAACAACUUGAGGGCUUCUUUCAAGGCCAUCUUGAGCAACAACUCUUAAAUCAGUUCCAUAUAUGCGUAUGCAAAAGGCAAUGCUCCUGCCAGCUACAGUAAUGUCUGUUGGCUAAUCAGGGUCUUUUCUACUAAUGCAACAAAUUUAUCCUCUGUGCUUCCAUUUCUUGGCCAUGGACCAUAUGAAACACUAAAAUUUAUCUGCUUAUAAGUGGGGACAUUUACGCUCACCUUCAUCUAAACCUUAAUAGAUACAGUUAUAUUUAUGCACAGCAUAUCAAUCACAUGUAGUUAUAUGGAAAUCUGCAUUAUAGUAUAUAAAAUAACAUUUGGAUCUUAAUUCUAUUUUUAGGGACCCACAUAAAACUAUUAGCUAGUAGAUGUUAGAUGAUUUUGGUCUGUAAUAAUGCUUCAUCGGAAAGGUACAGGAUCAAAGAUUAUCAAGUCUAAUGUACUUCUAUUAAAGUUAAGCUCUAUUGCUUGUGCAGUCAAUAAUGAACAUGCCAAGCAACAUUGUUAAUCUCAAAACAAUGUUUCAAGAAGUCCAUAAAUUCUUGGAAAUGUAAAAGAAAAUUUCACUCGUAACAGGAAGAGUGGACGGUCCUCUUGUUUAGUCUACAUAUCAAGCUGUAAAUCUUCUCAUUGCUAAUUUUGUAUCUUCGGAUGAUUCUUCAUGUUUUGUUCUGGUUAGUUAAAAGAUCGCCAAAAAAAACUGUUACAUUGAUGGUAUCUCCUUUCUGGUAUUCUACAUUUGUCUGUGCUCUUUACAUACCACAUUCAAGUUUAAAUAUAACUGCAAUGUUUUAGUUUCUUGUUUUGCUGCUAUCUUAUCCUUUGCCUUUUGAGUUAUGAGAAUUAGGAUGGCAAUUUUAUGAACAUUCAUUGCAGUAUCUUAUUUAUUAAAUGAAGAAUUUAACAUUGUCCUCUCAUUUAUCAAUUUAUUUUUCAAUAUCAAGCCUUUGAAUUCCAUUUUAGCAUGCACAGUAUCUAGCUUUCUGUCAUUAGAAUAUGUGUUUCAAAUGAAUUUUAUGUAGAUUGUUAGGCUCAAUGCAGAAAAUGUUAACUAGUGCUCUAUUGAUAUGUUGUUAUUUGUUAAAAAUCUUCCUUGUUCAAUUUCUUUAAAGGAAGCUGCGUUGCCAUGCAAGAAAUUUAGGUGACUGCCAGCCAAAACUGGUGCCUUAAUUUCCAUUCUUCCAAAAGUGUCUUGUUAUUCAUCUUAAUUUACUUUUAACUCUGGGAAGUCUACCAGUAAAAAUUUACAGGCCUGAAUGUAUGUUUACUUACAUGACAUGAGUAUGUUGUAUAACCUUCUCCAACUUGUAUAGGACUCCUACAGAGUCAUUUCUUUAUAUUUUGGAUGAAGCCCUUUUUGGUCAGUGGUAUCAUUUUAUAUUACAGCAUCUGGGCCUUUCGCCCUGACAAGGUAUCGGAGCCUGAAUCAUGGCUGGAAGUCUUCACUGCAGAUUCAUCACUCUGCAACUCAACGAUACUCCAGAUUUUUUAAAUCUUCAACAAAAGAGGUUCCUCUGCGAGCUUGGUUAGAGAUUCAAGUUCAGUUCAUUUAAUUGGAUUCUGCAUCUGUACUUGAUAUGCUGCUUAUGGUCAUCAUCAUUAAAGAUUACUUUGCUGCAGCUUUCUUUUUUUCAUUUUACAUCCAGCUAAUUCUGUCUUGCACUAAGCCAUAAUUAUUUUUGUUGUUAAUUAAUAUAUCUGGCAUCCAGUUUUGACCAUAAUCUCGUUCAGUUUGGUGCAGGUUUCUGAGGUCUUUUUUCCUAGCAAUUGCUGCGGCCCUUGAAGCCUCAGGCAGGUCUCUUUUGUGCACUUCGUUCAGAGCAAUGACAGGAUUUUUAGAAGAAGAAGGUAUUUUGAUUAUAUUUCAGCUGUUCGAGAACAGGUCUACAAAAUGAUUUCAUGUAAUGACUGCUACAUUACCACAAUGGCAUUAGUAACAUUGAAGGCCCUAGAAAUAUCAUUAUGAGGCCAACUUAGUCAUUUUAAAAGGAGGAGUUGCUGUCAUGGGAUCAACCCUAUCUCAAUCUCUAUCUCAUUCGGGGCAGUUGGCACCCAGCGACAAGAGAUGACUUCACCAAUGGACCAUGCAAUCACCAUCAGUGAAAACCGACGGACGGCAGUGGUGCCCACAGCCUAAACCGAUCAACAUCACCGACAACCCUCCGAUCCAUAUCAGAUGGUCGCAUUAGAAAAUUGAGGAAUCUUGGGAUGAGCCGGAGCUCAUCCAAACCGCAAUGGGCUCAAAAGUUUGGACCCUUUGACCGUGGGGCCCACUCAAAAAGCAGUGCGGCCCACGCAUUAAUUACUUUCAAAGGUAAGGCAAUUUGAGGGAAAGAGUCCAUAUUUCUCACGACAGCUUACCCUUACCCUUCUCUUAAGAAGUCCAUUGCAUCAUGCUCGGACAUAGUGGGGAAAUAAUAACAAAGAAAACCCUUCCCCUGGAAGCAAGAAGAAGAAGAGGGGACUAUAAGAAGAGCAAAAAGGAGGCAAAUAAUACUGAAUUCUCUCUUGGUAAGGGGAUUCCAGGUUAGUAUUUCAAUAUUUACGCUGGAGAAAUGUUGCAUCCAUGCCGGAAAUCGCUAUUAUGGAUGAGUUUGAUCGUCAUAGGAGCUUCAAUUUUGAUGAGAAAUGGGGGUGCAGUGUCUCUUCCACGUCGAGAACUGGAUGGGAACUGCACCUGUAACUCGCCAUGUGGGAACCCUUGUGAGAAUCCGAGCCCGCCACCGCCAUCUCCACCAGUACUGCCGCCACCUUCACCGCCACCGCCAUCUCCACCAGUACUGCCGCCAUCUUUACCGCCGCCGCCGUAUGAGCCUGCAGGCCCUCCUCCACCAUUCUGCCCGCCGCCUCCUUAUGAGCCUGCAGGCCCAAAUUUACCAUAUACACCAGCUCCACCCUAUUGGCUCGGCCCACCGGCAACCUUAUAUCCAGUAGACCCUGGGUACCACCGUUCUGAUGGGGCUGGCCGGAGUUCUAUGGGGAAGUUCCUGGUGUUGGUGGGCUGUGGGCUGUUGGCCUUGCUCUGAGGUGGCUGUGGGAGCUCAAUUUGUAGAAUAUUAAAGUUGUUUAAUGUAGAUUUGUGUUCCGCUCUUUUGUUAUUUAAUUCCCUCAAAGUUUUCAAGAUAAUUUGAUGAACUCUUGAUUCCUAGAUGGAUUCAGUUAGAAUAAAAUUGUUCAGUUGUUUCAUUGCUUUUGAGCUCAUACCAUGAACAAUGCUAUCUCUCUA